CAGCAUGUUUCCUUCUGCCCCAGGGUGGAUCCUGAAAUGCCUUCCAGGAAACUGAAGUUCAGAAAGAAUCCAUGCUAAAUCAGAAGAAGCAAUCGACUUCUUCUCCACUGGCUUGGGAAAUACAAAAGGCUUUGGCCAAUGGGAUUUGAAUGGAUGUAUCAUGGUAUGUUGGAGAAGCAGUUUUAAGAGGCAUUGCAAGUUUCUGGCAGCUCUCUGGAUCUUCCCAUCUGCCAUGAGAAUCGCCAAGUCCUACAUAGCAGCUGCUUCUUCAGGAACAAGAUGACCCAUGGAACAGAACCUCAGCUGACCCAUAGCAUGUAAUACAAGCAAGAAAUAAACCUUUGUG